GUUGAUAGCCAAUGAGAGCUGUUUCUAAGAUGGCCGCUCAGAGAGAUGACGCAGCGUAUUGGCGCUCCACAGUGGGAGCGCUUGCUGGACGUCGGGGGCUGUCCCGGGGUGAAAACUAAACAGAAAAAGGCGGGGAUAGUUUGAUUGUGUAGGCAGCAACAUGAAGAAAACAAACAUACCCAGCAACACGGUGCAGGGCGAGGAGACGGAACGAGGUCGGCACGUGAAGUUAGCAGCUAGUUAGCACGGACUCUACAGGACAAUACUCCCAACCUGGAUGAAUUCUUUACAUCUGGGGACACUUCCGGACUACAGGAAUAUUAAUAAACCAGGAAAGGACGGGCGGUGAAGGUUUAGGAGCGCCUACAGGGUUUCGCCUAUGAGAGUUAAGUAGUGAACCCCAAUUAAGAAAAAUCAUUUGUUACCCCGGUUACUCGAUUUGAAACCACCGCCUUGGGGCAGACGUCAAGCUGGCAACCGGAGCAGGAAAGGAGGAGGAAGAGGAGGAGUUUGCAGCAGUGAAGGAGGAAGAGGAGGAGUAUGUGGUGGAGAAGGUUUUGGAGCGCAGAGUGGUGAAGGGAAGAGUAGAGUUUCUGCUGAAAUGGAAGGGGUUCUCAGAUGAGGAUAACACAUGGGAGCCACAAGACAACCUGGACCUGGACCUUAUCACCGAGUACAUGCAGACACACAAGGAGACGGAGG